AUCCCGGUGGCAUCUCUUUCUGACGGUAUAAGCAAACAAACGGAGUUUACUCCUCUGUACCUGUGCACUUUGGACACAGGAAGGAGUCACCUCUUCUAAUAACCCUGACUGGGGAACAGAAUCCAAGGUGUACCCAGCCAUUGCAUUUAUCACAGCAUGCCCAAGAGACUAUGGUUAGACUGAUGCAAUUCUUGAGCUCCUCAGGAUGGAAUUUUUGACAAAUGCAGCACACAUCAGUGUCAUCUUCAGAUUCAGAAGAGGAAGAGUAUUCUGUCUGGGCUGCCUGAAUACCAGAUGUACUCGGAAUGGGUUCAGUGACGGAAGAGCCUUGCAUCAGUAUUGCAGUCAUCAACAGCCAGGGCCUGUUCUUGUUCAUGGUUCUCUGUGGUAUCAGGUGCUGGUCUAAAAACUGAAGCAGGUGCAAGAGCAGAAUCUGGCACUACAUUUGGGUUAAAUGGAUAUACCCCACAAUGUUUGAAGGCGGACUGGAUGUUACUUGCAGAAAGAGAAGAAGUGUAUGCCUUACAGCCAAUCUUGCACACAUCAAAUCUGGUAAUCAAACAACCUCCAGACUGUCGAAGGUGUUGAUGACAGGCAUGAUUCCAGGCAAUUUCAAAAGGCCCGUAACAACUUACGUCCAGAGGCUGUAGUAAAUGGCUACAGUGAGGGGGAAGAACAAACAAAACAAUACCAUUCUUCUGUGCCCACUCAAUC